UCUGAAAGAAAAAAGGUAAUACUUUUUAGGAAACCUAUACCCCUUGGCGGCCUUAUUUCUUAUUGAAGGAACUUGUUCUUUAAUCGAAAUUACCCGUUCAUUUUCUCUUUUAUUAUGUUUUUAUACCGUCGUCUUAAGAACAUCAUAAAACAUAUUGUUCUAUUGUGAAUAAUCAAGCAAGUCAGAUCAAGGUGAAGCUUUUAUAAAAGCCCAGAGUGAGUUAUUCUUAAGAGCUACUUUAGGACUUCAUUUAAAAAAAUUAUUCGAAUUAAGAUUCA
rnacentral:rRNA from 1 species